rnacentral:rRNA from 1 species
AUGGUGUUGCUUGACAUUAGGGGUAUGUUGCAGUCCAUGGGUAAAGACAUUGUUGAUUUCACUCUUCCAAGCAUAUAUGAUGUGUUUGACCCAACCGAGCGCGAGGCAAGAGAGGUCAUCGAGGAAUCAACCGUUGAGUUUGACAUGGAUGACACUAAAUUGGCAUCUUCCCUGAACUUUGAGCAGAGGGCCGCAUACGACGAGAUACUAGGGGUUGUUGAACACGGUGACGAGGGUGUAUUCUUUGUUGAUGGCCCUGGAGGUACAGGGAACACCUUCCUAUACAAGGUGAUGCUUGCCAAGGUGAGGAGCGAGGGCAAGAUUGGUAUCGCUACCGCAACGUCGGGCAUCGCCACUUCUGUCAUGGCUGGCGGCAGGACAGCCCACUCAAGGUUCAAGAUCCCAUUAAGUUGCGAUGAUGGAGCCUCGUGCAGUUUCCCAAGCAGAGUGAGACCGCCAAGCUGCUAA